rnacentral:rRNA from 1 species
GACGAACGCUGGCGGCGUGCCUAAUACAUGCAAGUCGAACGCAUUUUCUUUCACCGUAGCUUGCUACACCGAAAGAAAAUGAGUGGCGAACGGGUGAGUAACACGUGGGUAACCUGCCCAUCAGCGGGGGAUAACACUUGGAAACAGGUGCUAAUACCGCAUAAUUCCAUUUACUGCAUGGUAGAUGGAUGAAAGGCGCUUUUGCGUCACUGAUGGAUGGACCCGCGGUGCAUUAGCUAGUUGGUGGGGUAACGGCCUACCAAGGCUGCGAUGCAUAGCCGACCUGAGAGGGUGAUCGGCCACACUGGGACUGAGACACGGCCCAGACUCCUACGGGAGGCAGCAGUAGGGAAUCUUCGGCAAUGGACGCAAGUCUGACCGAGCAACGCCGCGUGAGUGAAGAAGGUUUUCGGAUCGUAAAACUCGGUUGUUAGAAAAGAACAAGGAUGAGAGUGGAAAGUUCAUCCCCUGACGGUAUCUAACCAGAAAGCCACGGCUAACUACGUG